rnacentral:rRNA from 1 species
UAGGCGCGCCGAGUUUGAUCCUGGCUCAGAUUGAACGCUGGCGGCAGGCCUAACACAUGCAAGUCGAGCGGUAACAUUUCUAGCUUGCUAGAAGAUGACGAGCGGCGGACGGGUGAGUAAUGCUUGGGAACAUGCCUUGAGGUGGGG